GUUGGAACACAGCUCUCCUAUACGAGCCUGCAGCACUUCACUGCAUAAGCAUGUAAAGACAUUGAGGGAGAAGAAGAUGCAGCAUCCUGCUGCUCAUCAUCCGGGCCUCCUGUGUCUCUGGAACAUUAGUAGUGAAUGUGACCCAGAGCUCCUAUCAGGCAGAGGAGGACCAAGACAUCACACUGGAGUGGACCUUCACAACCAACCCUCACAGUUCCUCCAACUCUCUUAAUAUCUUCUGUGAACUGUUAGCUGUCCUCAAGAAUCCAGUUAUGUUUCGUCUCCAUAAAGGAGUAGAGGUCCCAGAGUCUCAGCAUGAACAGUUUGCAGGACGAGUCCAGUGGGACAAAGACGUCCUCAGAGAAGGACGACUCAGAUUUAAUGUGUCCAGACUCAGGACUGAGGACUCGGGACUGUACAAGUGUCAUGUGGUCACAAGUUAUGGGAGGAACUCUGGUAGCUGUUUACUCAAGGUC